rnacentral:rRNA from 1 species
UACGUAGGGAGCGAGCGUUGUCCGGAUUCAUUGGGCGUAAAGAGCUCGUAGGCGGCUUGAUUAGUCGGAUGUGAAACCUCCAGGCUCAACCUGGAGUCGCCAUCCGAUACUGUCAUGGCUAGAGUCCGGUAGGGGCCCACGGAAUUCCUGGUGUAGCGGUGAAAUGCGCAGAUAUCAGGAGGAACACCGGUGGCGAAGGCGGGUCUCUGGGCCAAUACUGACGCUGAGGAGCGAAAGCGUGGGGAGCGAACAGG